rnacentral:rRNA from 1 species
AACCUUUACAUUGCACGACAGUGCGAUAGGGGGACUCCGAGUGUGAGGGCAUAUAGCCCUCGCUUUUCUGUACCGUAAGGUGGUACAGGAACAAGGACUGGGCAAGACCGGUGCCAGCCGCCGCGGUAAUACCGGCAGUCCGAGUGAUGGCCGAUAUUAUUGGGCCUAAAGCGUCCGUAGCUUGCUGUGUAAGUCCAUUGGGAAAUCGACCAGCUCAACUGGUCGGCGUCCGGUGGAAACUACACAGCUUGGGGCCGAGAGACUCAACGGGUACGUCCGGGGUAGGAGUGAAAUCCUGUAAUCCUGGACGGACCACCAAUGGGGAAACCACGUUGAGAGACCGGACCCGACAGUGAGGGACGAAAGCCAGGGUCUCGAACCGGAUUAGAUACCCGGGUAGUCCUGGCUGUAAACAAUGCUCGCUAGGUAUGUCACGCGCCAUGAGCACGUGAUGUGCCGUAGUGAAGACGAUAAGCGAGCCGCCUGGGAAGUACGUCCGCAAGGAUGAAACUUAA